rnacentral:rRNA from 1 species
UACGUAGGGUGCAAGCGUUGUCCGGAAUUAUUGGGCGUAAAGGGCUCGUAGGCGGUCUGUCACGUCGGGAGUGAAAACUCGGGGCUUAACCCCGAGCUUGCUUCCGGUACGGGCAGACUAGAGGUAUGCAGGGGAGAACGGAAUUCCUGGUGUAGCGGUGAAAUGCGCAGAUAUCAGGAGGAACACCGGUGGCGAAGGCGGUUCUCUGGGCAUUACCUGACGCUGAGGAGCGAAAGUGUGGGGAGCGAACAGG